UAUUAUUGGGGUGGUUUGUAAAAUAUGUCUGAUGAUUGUCCUGCUUCUUUGGAGUUGCUACAGAAUAUUUAAAGGUGAGAUCUGAUCCUUCUUAUAAUUGGCCACAGUCUAAUUAGUUCAAAUCACAAUCAGAAAUCACAAUUGCAGCUGCACCAAUCAAGUCACGUUCAGAAUAAUAGCAUGUAACAGUAAAUGUGUUUUCACAGGUUCCUGCUUUAUCAGGCCUCAGAGCACCAAUCAGAGCUCUGCUACAGGUCCAAUGACCACCCAGGAAGAAACUCUACACAGUACAUAUGCUUCGCUUCUUCAUGGCGAUUCUUCUGUUUAUGAAUCAAUCUGUCAUCCUGGAAACCCUGGAAAUGGUGCGGUUUGCACACUGAUCAGCUAGAAGGAUCUUUAUUGUUACAAUAAAUGAUUUAUUGACUAUUUGUGAAAGUCCACAAUGGAAAAAUUAACUAGGGAACAAAGAAAUGUGAAAAAUUAAUAAAAUGAAAGAAUUAAGUAGAGCAAGGAAACAUCUAAACUGUAUUAUUUCUUUAUUAACCACUAAUUUCUAUUGUUUCUCUUUUCUGUUACAUAUCAAUAAAAACAUCAAUGGUCAACAAACACAAAGAUUUAGUUCUUAUCAUAGUUACAGCUUUACUUUGUUAACUAUUCUACUCAGUGGAACAUAUUUAUGUAUACAGUAUAAUAAGUGUAAUUAGGAGUAUUUAGCAGAUUCAAGCCUUUAGAUUAUUACAUAUAUUAAACUAUGUGUUGGUUUUGUUAUUUUUUCAUGAUGUUUGGGUUAAAGAUCUUUGAAUUAUAACAGGAUGUGUGUAGUAAUAUAUUGUUUGUAUUGUGUCAAUAAAUGUUCCGCCAAUAUACCUUUACUAUUGUUUUUAUAUUAUACAUAUAUUGUAUUAUAAGUGGUCUGGUUUCUGAUGCCUGCUAAUAUACAGAGCUAGCGCUAGCCACAUUAGCUGCUAACAGUUAACUUCAAGUCCUCAUGUACAAAGACUUGCGUAGAUUUCCUACUAAAUUUGGCAUAAGUUCAAAAAUGAAUAGUAAAAAAAAUUAAAUUCAGAAAACUGCCUAAGUACAGAUGUAUGUAUUUUAUUUUUUUGUGCAAUGAAUGUUAGUUUAUCUAUCUAGCUCUAUCGUUUGAGGACAAUAAAAUAAUAUAGAAACGUCAGACCAUCAGUAAAGCUGUGAUUUUCUUGACUGGACAAUAUACUGUACUGGUUAAAGAAGACCUGUGUUGUUUUUAUGCAAACAAUUUACCAUAAAGUUUAUCGUAUGGACAAAAAUUUCCGUUAUAAACAGUGCUUUCACAUUCUAUGGCCCAAUGAUAGACGGUCCGGUCACAGACAGAUUGUUUAUGAUGCGUCUUUUCUAUGUAACCUGUGUCCUCAUUGCUGCGCUUUGACAUUUCAAUUCUCAUCCUG